rnacentral:rRNA from 1 species
CACCGCGGUUAAACGAGAGGCCCAAGUUGACAAUACCACGGCGUAAAGGGUGGUUAAGGAAAGUAACAUAAUAAAGUCAAAUGGCCCCUUGGCCGUCAUACGCUUCUAGGUGCCCGAAGCCCAAUCGCACGAAAGUAGCUUUAAUAAAACCCACCUGACCCCACGAAAGCUGAGAAA